GUCAAAUUGUAAGCAGUUCUAUUUUUUUUUCUGAAUAUUGACUGAGUAAUCCGUCCCUCCCUGAUUUCAUAACCAGUUUUCCCCAAUUUUUCAGUCAGUAUUGUUCAAAUCAAGAAGCUGUAAUUGCAAAAGAAUCUCAUCACAAAAUGGAGACCAAAGCAUCUGAAGCAGAAUCACAAGUCUCAGCAGCAACUGCAGUACUACUUGGCGCCUUGGCUCCUGGUGUUAAUGGUCAAACUUGGAAUACGCUAAAAGUUGCAUUCUUGAUGUUGGGUCUGUGCCUUACUGCAAUGUUGGCUUUAGCAUUUUCUGCAAGUGAUUUAUCAUUGAUUAUUCAUGUCACUUUUCUUGUUCUUAUUACUGGGAUCCUCUUCUUUCUUUUAACCAGCUUUCUUUCACAAACUGGCCUAGUUUCAGUCGAAAAUCAAAUGAAGGAAAUGGGCUUAGCUCCUGAAAUUUCUAUAAGCAAAAGUGAAUAGAACAAGCGUGGAAGACUUCUCUUUUAUUGUAAAAUUUUAAUAUGAGUUGACCAUUACAGUCUAAAGAUUAUAGAAGCAAACAACUCUAGAUGGGAUUACAAUUACAGUCUUGAUGCCGUUUCAGAUGAAAAGAGAUAAACAAGAUUUAGAAUCUUUAGCACUGUGUCACAGUUCUGCUCGUCUUCUCAUAAAAAAAAAAGAGAAGCAAUUUAAUAUUUCAAUCCCCUGGCCUCCUUGUUUGGUUUCCUGCCCUUGUAUUUAUGAUGCAGUAACAAGAGGAGCAAGAUAAAAAGAUGCUCAGCUUGUUUGUGUGGAUGAUCAGUGCCACUAGUGUUAAAAACAAAAUCAAAAGUGAUGAGCGGAUGAAAUUAGAAGAACUGUGAAAAUGAGAAGGGUCACCUGCAUAUUCCACGGAGACUGAAACAGAAUGGGACUGAAACAGGAAUGGGGCGAGUGAUGCUAAUUCAAAAAUUACCAACUGCUUCUCAGCUUUUCAAGGCUUUCUUCAGCAAGAGGACCCUCAAUUCUAGGCCUCUGUUUUUCUCGUCUCUCAAUUGUGAAGACUAUUUGAUUGAAGAUAAUGGCAUCUGGGGAUUCUAAAAAGAUGCUGAACCACUGCAUAUACAAUUAUAUGAAAGAAAAGGGACUUCACGUUGCUGCUGACGUAUUCGCUGUAGAAGCCAACCUUGACUUGGGUGAAUUACUGGAUUCGGACAAAGACAUGCUAAAGGAUUGGUGGAGGCUAUUCUGGCCUCAAUUCUCCUCCAGACUAGCAAACAAAGCUAGAGGAAACUCACGACCCUCCGUACAGCCUUCCAUGGAUGAUGUUAUAGCGAUGCUAGCUUCAUCAGAAAAGCAAGGGGCUAUUGGUUCCCAACAAGCUCUAGGUGGGAAUCCACCACAAAAUGUGAUUCCCAUUCCUGUGACUAACCAGCUGAUGAUUGCUAAUAGCGGUCCAGCUAUGGACAAUUUUAUGGAAAACCCACCAGUGAGUUCUAGGGCUGUUAUUCGGUCCGGGCGAGCCGAGCAUAAUUCGAGCCGAGUUUUAUCUAGUCGAGCCGAGCCGGCUCGUUUAAGAAAACGGGCCUAAAUCUUUGCCCGAACUCGACUCGUUUAUUUUCACGAGUCGAGUCGAGCUAGCUCGUUUAGCUAAACGAGCCGAGUUUAACGAGUCGGGCGAGCCGACUCGUUUAAUUUAACACUAAAUCGAGCCUAAAAUGCUACCCGAAUCCGACUCGUUAAUUUUCACGAGUCGAGCCGAGCCAGCUCGUUUAACAAAACGAGCCAAAACCUCUGCCCGAACUCGAGCUCGAUUAACUAAACGAGCCGAGCCGAGCCCAUCAAAACGAGUUCGAGCCGGGCGAGCUCGCGAGCUGCCCGGAUCGGAUUACAGCACUAGUGAGUUCGUUGCUAACUCCUCCUAUGACUAGCCUACACAGAGCUGGUAAGCAUCCUGUGGAUACUGACACUGUUGGUAUUCUCGGGAGACCGUCUGCGCCUUUCGGUAAUCCCAGGUAGUCUACUUAUGUGUGAUUGUAAUUUAUGUUUAUAUAGCGAAGCGAAAUUGUAUGUUACAUAUUUGAAUUAAGGUGAAUCUUUUUUAUAUUACAGCUAAUACAUUAUACUCAAUACUUCUUGUAACCUAUAUUAUUAAUUAUAUUGUAUUCUUAUUUUGAGAUUUAGUUGCGGAUCUGAUAGGCUGAUAGCAUGGCUUUUAUUUGUACAAAUGAAUUGCACCUUAAUGAUUUCAAUUUGACCAUUGACGUCAUCAUUUGGCAUGAAGGGACUAUAAUUGAAGAAUCUGGAAAAUGUAUUCCAAAUUUGAAUGUACAUUAUCUAUAUAUUCCUUUGGAACUUACAGAUAACAAUUUCUGAUCUUUUUGUGUCACAGCAACCAACAUUUUCCAGUUACUAUUCAGUCUCCAAUGCAAGUUACCGAGGUAUAUAUACACUAAAAUAAAAACCCUUUGGGCAACAUUUUGUAAAAGCUGCAUGGAGAUUGUGAUUCUUUUAUUCUUCUGCAGGGUCCUAGAAAUGAUGUGGUUGCUGAAAGGUCUGAUCAAAUUGAAUCAAAUCGGCUUGGACAGAAUUCAACGUAUCCACCAUCAUGAUUUCAUAGGGGGUUAUCUAAGUUGUUGAGAAAAUAGUUUUGAAGGUAAAUCCAUUAGCCGCAAUCUUGUUUUAUCAAACUAUAUAGCGGUUAUUAGUACUCCAGAGUCAAAUACAACUCAUUUUCACAAUUUGGUAUUUUGCUUGUGGUUUUCGCACUAUGUUAAAUCUUAAAAUAUUUGGUGGUAGCAGUAGAUUUUUUUUCUAGUUUACUAUUUAUUUAAAUGCAAGAAUUAUGUAUGUUACUAAUUGCAUAUCUUUUAUUUGCUAUAAGUAUUUACUAUAGUUGUAUUAAAGAGUUGCAAUUAGUAACAUACUAUACUAUAGUAAAUACUUAUAGCAAAUACUUAUAGCAAAUAAAAGAUAUGCAAUUAGUAACAUAAUUCUUGCAUUUAAAUGAAUAGUAAACUAGAAAAAAAAUCUACUACUACCACUAAAUAUUUUAAUAUUUAACAUAGUGCGGAAACCACAAGUAAAAUACCAAAUUGUGAAAAUGAGUUGUAUUUGACUCUGGGGUACUAAUAACCGCUAUAUAGUUUGAUAAAACAAGAUUGCGACUAACGGAUUUACCUUCAAAACUAUUUCCUCAACAACUUAGACAACCCCCCAUGAAAUCAUGAUGGUGGAUACGCUGAAUUCUGUCCAAGCCGAUUUGAUUCAAUUUGAUCAGACCUUUCAGCAACCACAUCAUUUCUAGGACCCUGCACAAGAAUAAAAGAGUCACAAUCUCCAUUCAGCUUUCACAAAAUGUUACCCAAAGGGUUUUUAUUUUAGUGUAUAUAUUCCUCGGCAACUUGCAUUGGAGACUGAAUAGUAACUGGAAAAUGUUGGUUGCUGUGACACAGAAAGAUCAGAAAUUGUUAUCUGUAAGUUCCAAAGGAAUAUAUAGAUAAUGUCCAUUCAAAUUUGGAAUACAUUUUCCAGAUUCUUCAAUUAUAGUCCCUUCAUGCCAAAUGAUGACGUCACUGGUCAAAUUGAAAUCAUUAAGGUGCAAUUCAUUUGUACAAAUAAAAGCCAUGCUAUCAGCCUAUCAGGUCCGCAACUAAAUCUCAAAAUAAGAAUACAAUAUAAUUAAUUAUAUAGGUUACGAGAAGUAUUGAGUAUAAUCUAUUAGCUGCAAUAUAAAAAAAAUUUACCUUAAUUCAAAUAUGUAACAUACAAUUUCGCUUCGCUAUAUAAACAGAAAUUACAAUCACACAUAAGUAAACUACGUGGGAUUACCGAAAGGCGCAGACGGUCUCCCGAGAAUACCAACAGUGUCAGUAUCCACAGGAUGCUUACCAGCUCUAUGUAGGCUAGUCAUAGGAGGAGUUAGCAACGAACUCACUGGUGGGUUUUCCAUAAAAUUGUCCAUAGCUGGACCGCUAUUAGCAAUCAUCAGCUGGUUAGUUAGUCACAGGAAUGGGAAUCACAUUUUGUGGUGGAUUCCCACGUAGAGCUUGUCUGGAACCAAUAGCCCCUUGCUUUUCUGAUGAAGCUAGCAUCGCUAUAACAUCAUCCAUGGAAGGCUGAGAAUCAAUUUAAUAAAAUUUAGGGAUAUUAUACAGACAUAUUAUUAAGAUGUUAAACUAAGAUAUUAUUUGAAGUUAAUCAAACAGUAAAGAUAAAUUGUUGCUAUAAUAUGCAUUAAUAAAUUGUAUACGUUUUUGACAUUUGGAGCGGUGAACAUUCUAUACCCUUUAUAAAAAGCAUUAAUGCUUUAUAAAAUAGCGUAAUCCCGUCUAUUGGUUUAGUUUAGGCCAUUUAUCUUGUUUACCUAUGGUAUGAGAUAUGUUGGUACAGUUUGUAGGAAAUCCACAAUGGCACCUGAACGGUCUCUAUUGGCCAUUACAUUGUUUUUUAUUCUUAGACUCGGUUCAAUAUAUACAGUGUUGCUGUAAUGCUAAUAAAAUAGUUGGGCUCAUUUCAGAUAUCAAGUAUUUUGUCGUUUUUUUGUAUAUCAUUAAGAACGAUUUAGUCCAUACAAAUUUCGUGAGUUUACAAGUGUCUAAGGUGCUUAAUUGUCAAUAUGAAACUCGGGGAAGAUCACAACUUUCCUCCUCAUGACUCGCAAAAUGCGCUAGUAACUGCCGGUUAGGCUGGGACCCCACUCUGUUAUGGAUGUUCGUUAUGGUAAUAAGGAAUACCGGUAACAAUAUUUUUUAGUGGAAGUAGUAGGGAAAAUUGCUAGCCCCGUAUCUCUUUGCUACAAAAUUCAAUGUAUAGUCCAUAGGGAUUCAUGAGAGUGCCCAUGGUUUAUGAACUAGUAGGAUGCGACAUUGAAUGUGCAAGGCUUGCACAUUAGCAGCUAGUCAGCUAAAUACAUUUGCUGCAAAUUCAGCAUGGUGCGCAAUGUUGAUGAGAUACAAGUCAACAUUAGUGAGUAAAAGGUACUCUAAAGGGACAUCAAAUGUUUUACGAAUUUAGCUAUCAAAAGGGUUAGAUCAACAAUGUCACACGUAUGAAGGCAGUGGGCAUGAACAAUUAUAAGGUAUACUGUACUAUUCUAUUAAGUAUUUUGAUUAAUAUAUUAAGAAAAAGGAUUAGGCCCAUAUUUAUGUUGUAACACUAAUUGUUUAGAAGCUAAAAGUUUCACCGGUGUUUGUAUUGCAGCACUAAUCCAAUAUUCUUUGUCACACUUUUAAAUAUAUCAUUUUCUAAAUUUCAUCUAAGUGCUUCUGUGCUCUCUCUGGAUGCAAAGUUAAAAACCGUCUUGAUUUUGGACCGUAAACCCCUGCGCUGGAAAUUUCUUCAAUUUAUGCUUAAAUACUACUUUUUUUCGUUAUUUUCUCGGGUCCUGUGCUUUCUUAUUCUGUACCUCUAUGGAUUGUUUUAAUUAAGGGAGAUGUCUUUUGGAAAAGGCUGGGAUGAAAGGACAUGGACUUUGGGAAUAGCUGGGAUCAUGGAAAAAU